UUGGGAAUCUUGGACAAUGGGGGAAACCCUGAUCCAGCCAUGCCGCGUGAGUGAUGAAGGCCUUCGGGUUGUAAAGCUCUUUUACCCGGGAAGAUAAUGACUGUACCGGGAGAAUAAGCUCCGGCUAACUUCGUGCCAGCAGCCGCGGUAAUACGAAGGGGGCUAGCGUUGUUCGGAAUUACUGGGCGUAAAGCGCGCGCAGGCGGUUUCUCAAGUCAGUGGUGAAAGCCCGGAGCUCAACUCCGGAACUGCCAUUGAAACUGUGAAACUUGAGGACGAGAGAGGUGAGUGGAAUUCCCAGUGUAGAGGUGAAAUUCGUAGAUAUUGGGAAGAACACCGGUGGCGAAGGCGGCUCACUGGCUCGUUUCUGACGCUCAGGCGUGACAGCGUGGGGAUCAAACAGGAUUAGAUACC
rnacentral:rRNA from 1 species